UUAUAUUUGCUACAUUUUGUGGAUGAACAUGGGUAAUAGCUAAUGGCAGAGGAUUUGCCUCGUCUCAUUACUUGUGUGGCUACGAAAUUCAGGGCUGGUGACUUUUGGGACACAACACGGUCACCCAAAUCAGGUCUAUCUUACUUGUGAAACUGGGUGGAAAAUAGCUGAGCUCAAAUAAAGGUGAGAAAUAAAAUAAUAAAUGAAACUAAUCAGCUAAAUUCAGAGUGUCCUUUGUGGGUAAGCCUAAUUACUAUUUGCUCCUGACCUAUUUAGCAAAUACAUGGUGUCAAUAUCAAAGUCAUUAACUCAGGAAGACCUAGGCUAUCCUUCCCCGAGCAGGGAUUUUCACAGGUACAAGGAAGAGGCAGCGUGCGCUGGGAAUGCUGCCUGCAGGUGGUGGUAGGUUUUCCGCAUAAUCCAGAGACCUUACCACCAAUGUGGAGACAACGCCGCCUCGACAGCCUGGCUCCUGGAGCUGAAAUAAACAGGACAGCAGAGAGAACAGAACGAGCCUGCAGAAGAGUCAGACCCUGGAAUCCCCAUGCUAGGAGCAGGGCGGGGUCUCAGCGAACCUACAGCCACCCCAGAACUGAGGGAAGAAAGCCCUAACGUCGGAGACGGAGCUUCUUCCUGGGUCUGCUCCCUCACUCCGUGCUCGGGCGGAGGACGGGAUGGAAACGCAGCCGGUGUGAGAGCGUUCACGGAGCCCCACUUUGAGGAGAAGGCGGGGACUGGAGGAAAGGCCCUUCUGUGUCCGCGGCUGUCAACAUCUUCAUCAUUCGUAGAUCCAGGCUUUGAAAUGGCACUGGUCCAAGGGAGAACUCGGACCACACCACAGAAGGCAGAGAGACGUGUGCCAAGGACCGGGGUGUGCAGCGAAGGGUCUGGCUGCAGCCGGCCUUGGGGAAGCCUUCAAACAACUUGAUGCAAGUGUGCUUUGUCUUCAUUGUGCUGUCGGACAGAUGACUACUUGCGUGUGUGAAAGCUAACCAACUCUGCACUUAAAAUUACUGAAUCCGAUUGCAUGUAAAUUAUGCCUCAAUAAAGUUUAUUAGAAACAUCUGCGGAAGUUAUGA
rnacentral:lncRNA from 1 species